rnacentral:rRNA from 1 species
GACGAACGCUGGCGGCGUGCUUAACACAUACAAGUCGAGCGGUAAGGCCCUUUCGGGGGUACACGAGCGGCGAACGGGUGAGUAACACGUGGGUGACCUGCCCUCAGCUCUGGGAUAAGCCUGGGAAACCGGGUCUAAUACUGGAUAUGACUCCAUGACGCAUGUUGUGGGGUGGAAAGCCUUGUGCGGCUGAGGAUGGGCCCGCGGCCUAUCAGCUUGUUGGUGGGGUGAUGGCCUACCAAGGCGACGACGGGUAGCCGGCCUGAGAGGGCGACCGGCCACACUGGGACUGAGACACGGCCCAGACUCCUACGGGAGGCAGCAGUGGGGAAUCUUGCGCAAUGGGCGAAAGCCUGACGCAGCGACGCCGCGUGAGGGAUGACGGCCU